rnacentral:lncRNA from 1 species
UAUCUGCAGAACCCAGACCAGGGCUUGGCACCUACCAGUUAUUCUCAUAAAUCUCUUAAAUCGGUGGCAAAAUGAAUGAAUGCCCACCCAAACUCAAAGGCAAGCUAAUCUUCGCCCAUCAAAAUCCUAUCCAUUUCUCAAGGUCUGUCUUAAAUUCUACUUCCUUCAUAUGUCUGUUCCUUCCCUCGAUCGCAAUUUGAUAUGAUUUCAGCUUCUCCAAAUUCCCCUGGCAUUUUAUCAAACCCUCUCUGCAGGACUGAUUUAAUUCUCCCUCAUGCUAAGAACUUAUCGAGAAGCUCUCCCUUACUAGUCUGCAUACUCCUCGAACCUGGAGACAAACCUGUCCUGUUCUGUAUCCACCCUACCCUUGCCUGUUAACCCAGCCCUAGCCCAAUGCUCAGUGUUAUCAUACGUUAUAACAUGGGCUUGUUGGUAAACUGAUUUGCCUUUUUUCCAGUUUUUGGCUGGAUCUACAAUUUCUUUUCUUUAGACUUGUGACAGCUUCAGCUUUUACAAAAUCUUGCACUACAAAGAAGAAAGAGAAAGACUCACUGGCCAGUGUGGAAGCUUUGUGGGAGCAUUCAGCAUUUUACACCCUUGCUAUGCACAUACCUCCAACCAAAACUGCUCAGAAGAGGGCCAGCCAAACCUCCCAGGAAACCUGACACAGCCAGGCAUUCACACUUCAGAAAAAAUGAAGAUGCAGAACGGGAAAAAAAAAAUCAUUAUGGGCCACAGCCAUCGCACAGUGAGAAACACUAAUUAUUCUGUGUAGCCUGAGAUUUUCUUAGUAGGCAAACUCUUUUGAAUAUUAACAAAUAUUUAUUUAGGAAUUAAUAAUUGACAUCUAUUAAAGCAUAAUUUAUGGAGAGUAAAUUCCUCUUGGUUUGGGUUCCUACCGCUGGGCUCAUCUGGCUGCUCCAGAAGUGACUCUUUCUUGUGUUAAAAGCAAAGUGCAAGGGGAGAGCUCGAGUUGGGGAUGGGGACACACUCCAGUGGCUGCACAGAACAAAGCUCAGUAGGAGGGCACCUGGUUAGGACUCAACCUCAACACUACCACUCGUGUUUGUGUGGCCUUCCCAAGCGGUCUUUCCAAGGCUAAUAAACAGUCGUCUUUAUGUCUACCUUUAUUUAGGUGGACAUGCUUGGUUACAAGUAAAGGAAAUUAUUUUGAGUUGGCUUGAGCAAUAAAGAGAAUGUGGGUAAGAAGCUGGAUCAGCUCCUGCAGCCCUGCCCGGGGACAUGGCUGGGCCUCGGGAGCCCCUGGGAGCCAGAGCUGGUAAGCUCUCAGCUCACUCUCUGGCUCUCACCUUUGCUCUUCACUCUGCACCUGCUGUUCCUGUCCAUUCUUUGGUCUCCAUGGCAAAAGCUGUCUCCUUGCAGCUCCUGAACUUCCCUGACAUGGGUGCUGCCAUAGAAGACAGUGUGAAAUCCCAUCUUGUUCCCAUUUCUACUUGCUCUGAAUAGUGCUGGCUGUUUGGUGGAAAGGUGCCUGUCACACAACCAACCGUGGACAGGGGCACGGGGUAUUAAAUUGUCUUCUAGGCACCACUGUUCAUUCAGUCAUUCAACAAUCGCUGACUGAGAGCCCACUUUGUGCCAGGUACUUUCAGGAGGCUGAGCAGUGAAUGAGGCAGAAAAAUGUGUCAGAGAGGUCACACUUGUCUCUGAAAACAGACCAUUCCAAGAGAAGCAGCAUCGGCAGAGAAUCAACAGGAAACCACUCAUUCAUCUAACUUUUCGAGGCUGUGUGAAAACAACAGUGAAAGCGCUAAGCCUUUGUAAAAUUAUAAGAGAUUUAUUAUGCUAUGAGACAUUUUUACAGAACACUAAUAAGUUAGAGGAAAUGGAAGAAAAGACAGAGGGAUUGGGAGAAAAAAGGAAAGUCCAUAGAAAUAGAAACUUGACAGAAAGGUUGAUUUUGGAGCAAAAUAAGAAUUAUUUUUAUACUUGGUGUCUUCAAAAAUUAAAAUGAAUGAUGGUAAGCUUUCCAUCCCUGAAAAGUAUUCAAGCCCAGACUAGAUCAGCUCCAAUCAGGGCUAAUUUAAAGGUCAUUCAUAAACUAGGCACGCAGUUGAUCAGGUGACCGAGGUGCUGUUCCUUUCCACAGCUCUGGAAACUGAUUUGCACAGUCAAAUCCAAGGUCUUAGGAGAUGCCACACUUCUGGCCUUCAAGGAGAGAGAUUGCCUGUCACCUUCCCUGGCCUCCCAAGACAAGAGCUUACACCUCAUUUUAACAUUAAAUAAAAACAGCAUUUCAUCUCCUCUGGAAUGCAAAACUGUGAAUUUGAGUGAAAUAUGCAGUUUUCAUUAUGUUAAAAGAUCUACUCAUUACAAUCAGGAUAAGAGGAUGUGAAUAAGACAAAUUGAUCACCACUUUAAAUGUAUUAAUCAGCUUGCAACUCUUGUCACCAGUCAAAACAGAACAGCCAGAUAUUUAUUCUGUCUCAGUUGCGUGUUAGAGCCCAUUUCAGGGGGUCACAGGAUCAGUGAGCCUCUGUAUGCAGUUUAUGGGCAAGCAGUCUCUAUGCACUGCAAAGUUCUUGCCUGCUUACAGUUUGACUAAGAAAACACAAUUAAAUAGGUUUACUCAUUCUGCAAAUAUUUAUUGAGCACAUACUGUGUGCCAAGCAUUGUGUAAGUCUCUAGAGAUGCAAUCAUAACUCAAAGCUGGCCCUUGCCCUUCCCAUUCUCAUGGUCUAGCCAGGAGGCAGAUGUGCAAGCAAACAAUUACAAUAAAGAGUAACUGACCUAAAUCAGUGGUCACUAUUAAGUGCUGUAGGACUAAGGACUAAUCUGGGGGUUGUGGUUGGAUGCACAGUCAUGAAGGAUAAAUACUCCAGACAGAUCUGUCUAAGCUUAAGGACUGGGAUGGAACAGAAGCUUUAGCGAGAAGAUGUGCCAGUCCAUUUCCAGAGUUAGAAUAUUAGAGGCUCAAUAAGAAGGUCCAGUUACCAAGUUCAGGAAGGACACGUCUUCUAGUCUGGUAGGCGAAACUUGGGCUGAUGAGGUUUUUGUUGGCUGAACUACCACAGGCGGCCCAAAGGAAAGCCAUGAACCUGGCUCAACCCCUCCCAGGAAGUGUGCUUAGUUCUUUCUCUCUCCCUGACAUAAUGGCCUUGGAGCUCUAUGGGCUGAGAGGCAGGUCAGGUCAGGACCUAGGAUCACUGGCACAGAGUGAUGGAAGGAUUUAUUCAAACAAUAGGAAGAAGGCCAGUCUCCCAGAAAGCGAGCUUCUUUCUGGGGAGAGGUUAGACUCAAAGGAAAUCCAGUGUGGUGCGGGGCCGGGUGGUGGGGUUAAGCCGCAGCAGGAUUUCCAGCCCUGGGAUAGGCUCCAUUCUCAGAGAACACAAUAUCAAUUCAAGGAUUCAGGUGCAAGGGAACCUGGAGCAGAGCCAUUGGCCAAGCCUGGGGCAGAAGGUGGCAGCAAGACCAGAGUCCAAAGGCUCCUUGUUCAAUGCCUGCACCACUAAUGCCCCUGCCUGAGAACAGGAAGGCAAGGCCGAGCUGUAACAUGUGAGCAGCUAACCCUCCACUAAGGGCAGUAGGAGCUUCAGGAACAGAAAACAUGAUGUAUGACCACAAGCCCUUGCUCCGUCCAGUCAAGACCAGUGCUUAGGACAGUGUCUAAAAAAACCUUGGAGGUAGAUUCAUGGGGAAGCCUGGUGUCUACCUGAAAUGAAGCACUUUGGCUUGGGGCUGGGGACUCAGGUAUCAGUGGGGAAGAGAGAUAGAACCAUCCAAAAAGGGGGAACAGCCCAGAAGAUUUUUUCAGCUGCCUUUGCUCUAAGCCUCAUGGAAAAAGUAAGGAACUAUUUGAGUUCAAGAAAAGCCAGGUAUCUUCUGGCACAAUCCUUUUUUACUCUAAGCAAUUCAUGAGGAGAAACAAUCAAGCUGCUGAGUUGGACUUUACAAGUUACUGAUUUUUUUUUUUUUUUUUUAGCUUCAGUUAUCUGCUGUUGAUGAUUCCAUUAUGAGGAAGGAGAGAGGUGUAAACUCAAUCUAGGGGCCUCUGGAGCAGGGCAUUUAUCUGCUUAAUGAGGUUGCAAGAGACCAUAAUACAUGUUUUAUGGGCCCAGUCUCAUUUUUAAUCUGCUUUGAUAAGAUCGCUAUGCUGGAAGGAUAUAGAAACUCCCAGACAGACCCAGCUCAAGACAGAGACAAUGAUACUGGCUUGGGAGGGUUUUGCUCAUGAGGUAGGGUCCAUGGAGCAUUCCCUGCAUGUUAACUCUUAAGACCUUGCUCAGUCAGGGCAGUCUUGUUCCAUCCUCCCAGACACUCCUUCCAGAAGAUACCGGGUGGUAGCAGGCAUGAGAGGGCACAGACUUCAGAUCGUGACAGAGUAAGUCACUUUAACUGCUCCUUUUGGACGUAGCAGAAGUAGCAUUUUCAAAUGAAUAGCCUGUGUAGAGAAUAGGAGAAAAUGGAAGUCACAUGCAUAGGAAUUAACAAGGUUGUAGGCACCAACUUCUGAUCCUAGCUCUCAGAGUUAAAGGUUAAUUGAACCUCAUCAUCCCCAGCCUUGACCAUCUCCAAUCAUCUGCCAUCUUGGAUCUUCCAGUCCUGUUCCCUGCUUCACUUCUCCCAAAAGAAUAAGGAGAGCAUAUGCAUUGACCAAGGCCAGGACAAGUAGUUCUUGCUAAAUUUUAACCUACUCCCUACCAUUUCCUGGUCUCUGCAGCUAGGCUGGGGCUGCAUGCCACGUCUGUAGGCUGUGAGUGGAGUCAUUUGUGUUGUUUCCAGUUCAAAGUUGUCAAGAGAGGGUGUGAAUUCUCCACAUACUCUUGCCCUUCCACAGUGUGGGAAGUGACAACUAUCAAGACAUCAGAGAUGAGCGGUGGACAGAGUUCUGAUCCCUGAAUCACUAUUGGAAAAAUGCCUCCAAGAAUGCUGCCUGACCAUACUCAAGCAUUUGGUUGAGUUCUGUCCCUGAGGUUUUGGGAUUGUCUGUUCUUGCUGUCUGGGUUAGCCUAUCCCAACUAAUGCAUGAAGCAACUUCUAUGAAUCCAGGAUGGCACAGGGUUCUUUCCUAUAAAUUAUCUCAAACUCAUCUCAUGAACGUCUACUCCAGGAGAGUUCUGACCUAGUACAGUUUGGGCCAGUGAUGGGAUUUCUACAUCCCCCAAGAUCCUGCUUCUUCCUGUAUACCUCCAGAUCUUAUGCCAGAACUUCUGAGUCUCGAGACUCUUGGGUUCUGCCUAUUGUUAAGGACUCUCUUGAGAAUGCAGGCUAUUCUUUCAACCACCUUUCCCCCUGAACUUGACCAUCACUGUAUGCUGGAAGAGUCACCAUUUUACUGAAUUUAGUUUACUGGAUGGUGACUGUAGAGUGCAUAAAAUAUUAACAUUUCAGUCAGACAAGUCUGGGUCCAAAUCUUAGCAUUAUCACUUCAUUCGUUCACACAUGCAUUCACAGUACAGAAAAUGCAGUCAAGGAGUUUCCAUUGUGGCUCCGUGGUAAUGAACCACUAGUAUCCAUGAAGAUGGGGAUUUGACCCCUGGCCCUGCUCACUGGGUUAGGGAUCUGGCAUCGCCAUGAGCUAUGGUGUAGGUAACAAACGUGGCUCGGAUCUGGUGUUACUGUGACUGUGAUGUAGGACAGCAGCUGUGGCUCUGAUUAGACCCCUAGCCUAGGAACUUCCAUAUGCCAUGGU